AAUUUGAUAAAAACAUAAAUCAAAGUUUAAUGUUGCCGUUUAAGGUAAAGACAUUUCCCAAAUAUGUUGAGGUAGUGAGGUUCUACAGGGUCGUCCUGAGAUCACAUGAAACAUAUUCACAAAACUCAGCUCAUGUGUUCUCAGGUCGCCCCUGCUGGACUUUUCUCUACUACGAUACAGAGUUGGCGUCCAACUGCAACCGAUUGAAGAUGCACUCACCAAAAACUGAAAACGGAGCAUGGGAAAAAGAAUGUAGAAUGAAAUUCCAGUUGUAUGCAUGAAUGCGGUGCAGUUGAAUUAUCAAGUUGCAGAAGGUCUAUUGUGGCAUCUCUCUUGGCACCUUGUGGGGUCAAUUUCCAAUUCUCUUCCUUUUCACAAACUUCAUCUUGUUCUUCGUCGUUAAUAAUGUCAACAUCGGGAAGACAACCAGAUGAUAAUUGAUUCUGUUUUUCAUUACUGAUAAUGUCAAGAACGGGAAGACGGCCGGAUGACCCAACAGCUCGGGGCAACAUUCCAAUUGGACACGGGUUCCAUGAUUUUGCUAAGGUCCAUGUCUGUGAUUUUUGAGAGUCACAAUCCACAGCCUUUGGUUUUUUAUUUUUCAUAACCUGAUGCUUGACUAACUCUAGCUUUUUAGUUGCUUCUUGUAUAGAUUCCUCGAAUUGGAAAAUGUUAUUUGAAGUUAAUAAAGAGUUUUGAUCAUCUGCAUGCUCUAAAUUGGACAAAUUAAUCUGAGAGAACUUUUGAGCUUUCUCCAUCAAGUAGUUAUCAUCCAUCAGUUCUGUAAGCUGAAGUGCUGAAUCCAUGAGCUGCUUGUUGAAAAGUUGUGAUAUUAGAAGACAUCUACGAAGAAGUUCAAGCAAAACUCCUUUUGGCAUAUUUGCUGCCUCAGAAGGAACUCUACUGAGAAUUCCGACAAGCCAUGCAAACAAAGAAGAAAGCCGAAAGUCUGUCCUUGAUUGUAAAAUGCCCAUAUUUGGGUUAUCUGCGAGUGUUUUAAAAAAAAAAUGGCACGAUUUGAGAUCAAUUGAAGAAACUAAGCCAGUUAAAGUCAA